CAGCAGCCACGGGAACACGAACCGUGCGAACGUUAUUCGGAAUCACUGGGCUUAAAGCGCGUGUAGGCGGAUGGGAACGUCGGUCGUUGAAAUCCCCCGGCUUAACCGGGGAAGUGGCGCCGAUACGACCCGUCUGGAGGAACGUAGGGGGAGCUGGAACUUCCGGUGGAGCGGUGAAAUGCGUUGAGAUCGGAAGGAACGCCCGUGGCGAAAGCGAGCUCCUGGACGUUUUCUGACGCUGAGACGCGAGAGCCAGGGGAGCGAACGGGAUUAGAUACCCCCGUAGUCCCUGUCUCUUAUU
rnacentral:rRNA from 1 species